GGUCAAGCUACAAAGGGCGCAUGGUGAAUGCCUUGGCAUCAGGAGCCGAUGAAGGACGCGAUAAGCUGCGAUAAGCUUCGGGUAGGCGCACAUAGCCAGAGAUCCGAAGAUUUCCGAAUGAGGAAACUCACAUGGGAAACCCCAUGUAUCAUAAAGUGAAUAGAUAGCUUUAUGAAGGUAUACCCAGGGAACUGAAACAUCUAAGUACCUGGAGGAAGAGAAAGAAAAAUCGAUUUUCUUAGUAGCGGCGAGCGAAAAGGAAAGAGCCCAAACCAGAGAUUUAUCUCUGGGGUUGCGGACAGAACAUAACGAGAAAUCAUAGUUAAUUGAACACAACUGGAAAGUUGGACCACAGUGGGUAAUAGUCCCGUAAGUGAAAACUAUGAUAAUCAGUUCUGCACCAGAGUACCACGAGACACGUGAAACCUUGUGGGAAGCAGGGAGGACCACCUCCCAAGGCUAAAUACUACCUGAUGACCGAUAGUGAAGCAGUACCGUGAGGGAAAGGUGAAAAGAACCCCGGGAGGGGAGUGAAAUAGAACCUGAAACCAUGUGCCUACAACCGAUCAGAGCACCUUAUGUGUGUGAUGAUGUGCUUUUUGUAGAACGAGCCAACGAGUUACGGUAUGUAGCGAGGUUAAGUACUUAAGGUACGGAGCCGAAGGGAAACCGAGUCUUAAUAGGGCGACUAGUUGCAUGCUGUAGACCCGAAACCGGGUGACCUAUCCAUGGCCAGGUUGAAGCGAGGGUAAAACCUCGUGGAGGACCGAACCACGUUGCUGUUGAAAAAGCAUGGGAUGAGCUGUGGAUAGCGGAGAAAUUCCAAUCGAACUCGGAUAUAGCUGGUUCUCCUCGAAAUAGCUUUAGGGCUAGCGUCGGAAAAUGUGAGUAGUGGAGGUAGAGCACUGAAUAGGCUAGGGGGCAUAGCGCUUACCGAACCUUAUCAAACUCCGAAUGCCACAUACUAUCAGUCCGGCAGUCAGACUAUGAAAGAUAAGUUCCAUGGUCAAAAGGGAAACAGCCCAGAUCGUCAGCUAAGGUCCCAAAGUGUAAGUUAAGUGGAAAAGGAUGUGGGAUUUCUAAGACAACUAGGAUGUUGGCUUAGAAGCAGCCACUCAUUAAAAGAGUGCGUAAUAGCUCACUAGUCAAGAGAUUCUGCGCCGAAAAUGUCCGGGGCUCAAACUUACCACCGAAGCUACGGGUUCACGUGUAUAACGUGAGCGGUAGAGGAGCGUCGUAAUCAGGCUGAAGUCGUACCGUAAGGAGCGGUGGACUGAUUACGAGUGAGAAUGUUGGCAUUAGUAGCGAGAUGUAGGCGAGAAUCCUACAGGCCGAAUAUCUAAGGUUUCCUGAGUAAAGUUUGUCUUCUCAGGGUUAGUCGGGACCUAAG
rnacentral:rRNA from 1 species